rnacentral:lncRNA from 1 species
UCAGCUGUAUGAUGAAGAUGAUGAAACACAAUCUUUCAGUUGAUUUUUCUAGAAGUCCCAUGAGGUAGUUAUUUUCCUUACUUCACUGAGUUGUUGAGUUAACUAAAAGAAUUAAUGUGUGUAAAGUGCUCAGAACAAUGAAAAUUCCACAGAAAACUAGAAGUAGAGAGAUUCCAUUUGACNNGCAGCUGCUCAGGCUGUGUUCAGGACAGGUGUGAUACAAGUCACAGGGAUAAAGAUGCUCGCUCAGAUAGACACCAAGUAGGACCAGUGAUGAGACUCGUGUGCCAGAUGCCAGUCUAUGCCUUACAUGCACAUUGUAAUAGCCCAUGUGGUAAAGGCUCCAUGUGUCCCAUUUUACAGAUGAAGAAACCAAGAUGCAAAAAUUGUAAGCAAUGUGUC